AUUGAACGCUGGCGGCAUGCCUUACACAUGCAAGUCGAACGGCAGCACGGGUGCUUGCACCUGGUGGCGAGUGGCGAACGGGUGAGUAAUACAUCGGAACAUGUCCUGUAGUGGGGGAUAGCCCGGCGAAAGCCGGAUUAAUACCGCAUACGAUCCACGGAUGAAAGCGGGGGACCUUCGGGCCUCGCGCUAUAGGGUUGGCCGAUGGCUGAUUAGCUAGUUGGUGGGGUAAAGGCCUACCAAGGCGACGAUCAGUAGCUGGUCUGAGAGGACGACCAGCCACACUGGGACUGAGACACGGCCCAGACUCCUACGGGAGGCAGCAGUGGGGAAUUUUGGACAAUGGGCGAAAGCCUGAUCCAGCAAUGCCGCGUAUGUGAAGAAGGCCUUCGGGUUGUAAAGCACUUUUGUCCGGAAAGAAAUCCUUGGCUCUAAUACAGUCGGGGGAUGACGGUACCGGAAGAAUAAGCACCGGCUAACUACGUG
rnacentral:rRNA from 1 species